AGUGUUGUAACUUAGUGGUAGAGCACUUGCCUCGAAUGUAUGAGGCACUGGGUUCAAUUAUCAGUAUCACUU
rfam:Ictidomys tridecemlineatus contig033799, whole genome shotgun sequence.